AGCAGCCGCGGUAAUUCCAGCUCCAAUAGCGUAUAUUAAAGUUGUUGCAGUUAAAAAGCUCGUAGUUGAAUUUCGGGGUCAGUAGAUUGGUCAUGCCUCCGGUAUGUACUGGUCUUACUGGCUCCUCCUUCCUGAUGAACCGUAAUGCCAUUAAUUUGGUGUUGCGGGGAGACUGGACUGUUACUUUGAAAAAUUGAGUGUUUAAAGCAGGCUAACGCUUGAAUACAUUAGCAUGGAAUAAUGAAAUAGGACGUUCGAUCUUAUUUUGUUGGUUUCUAAGAUUGACGUAAUGAUUAAUAGGGAUAGUUGGGGGCAUUAGUAUUCAAUUGUCAGAGGUGAAAUUCUUGGAUUUAUUGAAGACUAACUACUGCGAAAGCAUUUGCCAAGGAUGUUUUCAUUAAUCAAGAACGAAAGUUAGGGGAUCGAAGACGAUCAGAUACCGUCGUAGUC
rnacentral:rRNA from 1 species